UCCCCCGAUGGCCCGACCCACCUGCCCACCUCCUCCGCACGACCUUUCCCCGAUCCACCCCACGGCCUUCCCACGAUCCUGCCGCGGCCUCCUCCCGGCACGCCGCCAUGGCCCGUAACCAUCUCCCGCCGCCGCGACCGCCCGCCGGACCGUCGGCCACGACGCGCCGCCCCGACGCACCUCCCACCGUCGUCCCCCGGCUCCGACGCGCCUCCUGUCGCUGUCUCCCCGGUCCCCGACGUGCCUCCCGCCGCCGGCCUCUGGAUCCGGCCGUCGCUCCGCCUUCGCUUGCCGGAUACGGCCGCUGCGCCAUCCCCUCCGACGGAUCCACCCAGGGACUGAUCCCGACGCCGCCUGUAGCCACCACGCACCGACGCUCGCCCCACCGAAUCUCCUGGACGCCUCAGCUUCAACUGGACUACCUCGCCUACUUCUGGUGCGCCGGUGCACCCCCUCUAUGCAUCAUCGCCCAGAUUGCAGACAGGAUCAGAGGACGUGGGAGGAGGUAGUGGGCGCCUGAAGACUGAAGAUGUGCAGUUCGGGCAGUACAACUUGGCAGGUCAAGAGAUUCCUCUGCCCGCUAUGAUGCUGGCCAGUGCGUCGGGGAGCGAUAGCCUCCCCGGCCUGCAGCUUUCACCCACCAUCGUGUUGCUGUGUUGCAGCCGCUGUUGUACAGUGGUUUAGGAGGAUCCCCGCCAAAGCUGGCUCAGCUCGUCCCCAACCUCAUCGCGUCUGCCCUCUUGGUCCGCCUCACCUUCCAACGAUGGCACAAGGAAUGUGGCCAAAACGGGGGAGCUGCUGCAGCCGUACUACUACUAAUGCAAAUCCAGUGAAGAAGGAAUAUUAAGCACAAAGCUCAAAGAUCCCUUUGCUGAAAUGUUCAGACAAAACACAGAGAGAAAUUUCAGAGAUCCCUCUGCUGAAUAUGAGCAUGCGAUACAAACUUCUAUCAUGUCCACAGCUUCCAUUUCAGCCGUUGAAGCUGCAGAUGGAGCGCGACAUGCAGCAGUGUCGCCCCAACAGGCAUGCAGCACCGACGACGGCAGAGUGUGGCGUGCAUCUGUCCGGCAUGCUCGGCGUGGUGCCGAGGGGCUGCAGGAAUUGGCUGGGGGUUAAAGUUCAGGUAAUGCUAUUGUCUGGUGGCGAAGGACCAUGCAGGCUGUUUCGUUACUUGAAAAACGCGUGACGCAAAGGAACAAGAUUUUUUCAAUGAACUCCUACUCUUAUUCUUUUCCCCUUCGGCUUUCUCUGCCAUGGUUGUGUGCAUGCGUGUUAUGUGUGUGAGUACGCUACAUCAAUUUUCGUAAAAGAAGCAUUUUCAAUUGGGCAAAAUUAGUUGAUGGUAGUCGAAGUUCAGACAUUUGUAUUGGUGACGUUCAGUAAUUAUAGAAUGAGAAGUAGUGCCCUUCUUGAGGAGCAGUGUAGUACUAGACAAAUGGCCGUGAAGAGCUAAGUGUUGACUCUGUGCAAAUAUCUAUAUGGAGCGCAUACCCUGUGUUUGCUAAAAUGCCACCAUGAACAAGAAUACUACUUCCAUCAGUUUCGAGUACGUGUGGUCCUCUGUUUUUUA